CACGUAGGGAGCGAGCGUUGUCCGGAAUCACUGGGCGUAAAGAGCGCGCAGGCGGUUUGGUAAGUCGGAUGUGAAAACCCGGAGCUCAACUCCGGGCCUGCAUCCGAUACUGCCCGACUAGAGGUAGGUAGGGGAGAUCGGAAUUCCUGGUGUAGCGGUGAAAUGCGCAGAUAUCAGGAGGAACACCGGUGGCGAAGGCGGAUCUCUGGGCCUUACCUGACGCUCAGGAGCGAAAGCUAGGGGAGCGAACAGG
rnacentral:rRNA from 1 species